rnacentral:rRNA from 1 species
UACAGAGGUCCCAAGCGUUGUUCGGAUUCACUGGGCGUAAAGGGUGCGUAGGCGGUCGGGUAAGUCUGAUGUGAAAUCUCACAGCUUAACUGUGAAACUGCAUUGGAUACUAUCCGGCUUGAGGAAUGGAGGGGAGACUGGAAUACUUGGUGUAGCAGUGAAAUGCGUAGAUAUCAAGUGGAACACCGUGGCGAAGGCGAGUCUCUGGACAUUUCCUGACGCUGAGGCACGAAAGCCAGGGGAGCAAACGGG